UCAACAAUUACAAACUUAAAGGGCAUAGCCGGAUAAGCAGGUCGAAUCGGCCCCCGCUGAAUUUUUUGUCGGUACUUCAGGGAUCAAUUUGGACCCAAAUGAAAAUAAUUCAGUGAAAAUUUCAGCUAUUAAUCUUAAACGGUU